UACGGAGGGGGCUAGCGUUGUUCGGAAUUACUGGGCGUAAAGCGCACGUAGGCGGCUUUGCAAGUUAGAGGUGAAAGCCCGGGGCUCAACUCCGGAAUUGCCUUUAAAACUGCAUCGCUAGAAUUGUGGAGAGGUAAGUGGAAUUCCGAGUGUAGAGGUGAAAUUCGUAGAUAUUAGGAAGAACACCAGUGGCGAAGGCGGCUCACUGGAUCGGUACUGACGCUGAGGUGCGAAAGCGUGGGGAGCAAACAGG
rnacentral:rRNA from 1 species